rnacentral:rRNA from 1 species
UACGUAGGGGGCAAGCGUUGUCCGGAUUUAUUGGGCGUAAAGAGCGUGUAGGCGGUUUGGUAGGUCCGCUGUGAAAACUCGAGGCUCAACCUCGAGACGCCGGUGGAAACCAUCAGACUAGAGUCCGGAAGAGGAGAGUGGAAUUCCUGGUGUAGCGGUGAAAUGCGCAGAUAUCAGGAGGAACACCGGUGGCGAAGGCGGCGACCUGGGUAGAUACUGACGCUGAGGCGCGAAAGCGUGGGGAGCAAACAGG